rnacentral:lncRNA from 1 species
AGUUGCUCUGAAAACAGAAGAUAGAGGGAGUCUCGGAGCUCGCCAUCUCCAGCGAUCUCUACAUUGGGAAAAAACAUGGAGUCAGCUCCGGCAGCCCCCGACCCCGCCGCCAGCGAGCCGGGCAGCAGCGGCUCGGACGCGGCCGCCGGCUCCAGGGAGACCCCGCUGAACCAGGAAUCCGCCCGCAAGAGCGAGCCGCCCGCCCCGGUGCGCAGACAGAGCUAUUCCAGCACCAGCAGAGGGUUAUCCAUACCAGUGUCCAGUGAGGGAACUGAGAGAAGGCGGCAUGAUCCAGACAUCAUCUGGCCCCUCCAGAGAGCGUACAUAUGUAAACUGUCCUUUACUCAGUGGAAUAAACAAAAAUGGAUAACUAAAAACAUAUUAGAAUGCUGCAGAGAAGAACCAAAGGGGCUUUGGGACGUCAGGAUUGGAAGUCAGACUGCUUCGCUGCCUCUCAUUCUUCCUUUGGUUUCGACAAACUUAACGCUAGCUGAGCCUCCAUUUCUUCACCAGCAAAACACAGCAGUUGAAACUUUAUAAAAAACAGUUCAUUAAUUUCUUUAUACUGUAC